GAUAUAUGACUGCGGGAGGCGUGCAGUUUCUGUGUGUAAAGACCCCAAAAGGGCUCCUACGACGCAGAGUUUAAACUCAAGGUGAUCAGUCACACAGUAGAAGACGGGAAUAGAGCAGCAGCGAGAGAAUUUAACAUUAACAGCAGCGACACUGACUCGUUUAAUGACGACUUCGACGAGACGGAGCCGGACAGUAUUCGCCCAACUGUUUCAUUCGAACACUGAAGAAGAAGAAUUUGAGAGUUUCGUGGAUGAGGAAUAACUUAAUAAAGAUCACGGGAUGAAAUGGAGCAUAUCCCAGCUGACAAACAUAAGGCACACCCAUUCACACUUCCACCGAACGCAUGCUGGCUGCAUGGAAGUCAGCCAAGUAUUACAGGCCUGAAGUCAGGACCUACCUUCCUCCUGAAGACUGAGAAGGCCAGACCACAGGACUUGCACACAAGGCUGGGACUCCCUGAGCUGGUGGGCGGGUAUGUGGAGUAUCCUGCACUGGGUGCAAACCUAAAGGGUCCAGCGCCGGCCCCGAAUCCUGGCUGCUGACCUCUGACGGCUCCAGUACCCAUAACUUCAUUCAGCAGACCACAGCAUGAAGCCCACACGGACGAAGCCCCUGCCUGAUGUUUAUAAAAGGAACAGAUACAGUUCAGUUUUUCAUGUACAGUUUACACUCAGUUCAGUAUGUGUAUAAAUAAGAGAAAAAAAACUACAGACGUUCAUGACCGAGACACAACUUUCAGGCAGUCUCAGUCCCCCUGUUUGGUCUGGUCCUUUUUGUCCUGGACUGCGUCUACACUUGCGGAAUCAAACAAUACUAGCAGCGCCAACGAACUAGAGUCCAUUUUGACCGAACCAAAAAUUAUAAACCUGAACAAACCCGAAUACAACAUGCGCAAGUGUGACGGUAUCAAAUUUAUUGCUAACAUCCAUCCAUCCAUUUUUAAACUCAAAAAUAUGCAACAUAAAGUGGCAAGAAAUAUAUGUUAACAAUGAAUAAAGCAAAAUACACUAUAUUGCCAAAAGUAUUUGGCCACCUGCCUUGACUCACAUAUGAACUUGAAGUGUCAUCCCAUUCCUUACCCAUAGGGUUCAUUCAAUAUGAUGUCAGUCCACCUUUUGCAGCUAUUUCAGUUUCAACUCUUGUGGGAAGGCUGGCCACAAGGUUGCGGAGUGUGUUUAUAAGAAUUUUCGACCAUUCUUCUUGUGAGGUCACACACUGAUCUUGGUCGAGAAGGCCUGACUCUCAGUCUUCGUUUUAAUUCAUCCCAAAGGUGUUCUAUCGGAUUCAGGUCAGAGCUCUGUGCAGGCCAGUCAAGUUCAUCCACACCAGACUGUCAUCCAUGUCUUUGUGGAUCUUGCUUUGUGCACGGUCAUGUUGAAAGAGGAAGGGGCCCGCUCCAAACUGUUCCCACAAGGUUGGGAGCAUGGAAUUGUCCAAAAUUAUUUGGUAUGCUGGAGCAUUCAAAGUUCCUUUCACUGGAACUAAGGGACUAAGACCAACUCCUGAAAAACAAGCCCACACCAUAAUUCCUCCUCCACCAAAUUUCACACUCGGCGCAAUGCAGUCCAGAAGGUACCGUUCUGGCAACCUCCAAACCCAGACUCGUCCAUCAGAUUGCCAGAUGGAAAAGCGUGACUCAUCACUCCAAAGAAAGUGUCUCCACUGCUCUAGAGUCCAGUGGCGAUGUGCUUUACACCACUGCAUCCGGCACUUUGCAUUGGACUUGGUGAUGUAUGGGUUAGAUGCAGCUGCUCGGCCAUGGAAACCCAUUCCAUGAAGCUCUCUACGUACUGUACGUGGGCUAAUUGGAAGGUCAAAUGAAGUUUGGAGCUCUGUAGCAAUUGACUGUGCAGAGAGUCGGCAAACUCUUUGCACUAUGCCCUUCAACAUCUGCUGACCCCUCCGUGUCAGUUUACGUGGCCUACCACUUUGUGGCUGAGUUGCUGUUGUUCCAAACGCUUCCGUUUUCUUAUAGUAAAGCAGACAGUUAAGUAUAGCAGACAGUUGACUUUGGAAUAUUUAGGAACGAGGAAAUUUCACGACUGGAUUUGUUGCACCCGUGGCAUUCUAUGAAAGUUCCCCGCUGGAAAUCACUCUUGAGAGCAGCCCAUUUUUUCACAAAUAUUUGUAGAAACAGUCUCCAUGCCAAAGUGCUUGAAUUUAUACAACCUGUUGCUGGACCAAGUGAUUAGGACACCUGAUUCUGAUCCUUUGGAUGGGUGGUCAAAUACUUUUGGCAAUAUAGUGUAUGUUUUGGACCAAAAAUCUCUAAGCUAGUGUUACCAUAUAUAAGUUAUUGAGUAGAAAUAUGGGGACAUAACCACAAAUGUACACUUCACUCGUCAACAGUGUUACAAAAAAAAUGCACAAUGUUGGAUAUAAAGAACAUACAAACUUUUUACUUAUUAAAACCAAAAUAUUGAAAUUCAAUGAUUUGGUGCAAUGAUAUGCAGAAAGCAAACUAAAACCUGCUACCCAAGAAUGUACAGCAAUUAUUCUCAAAUAAAGAGGGGAAAUUUAAUCUUAAUGAAAAAUCUAACUUUAAACAUUUGUUUAUAUGAACAAAACAUAAAAUCUUUAGUAUAUCAGUAUGUGGAAUUAAAUUAAGGAAUGAAUUAAGUUAAACAAUUAAUAUGAUCCAGUUUAAGAGACUGUUCAAACUACAUGUCUUUACAAAGAAUGAUAAACAUCUUGAACCUAUUGAAAAUAAGAUAUUCAUCUUAUUAGGUGAAUCAUAACUGACUUAACUAUUUAUAAAGAGAACUGUUGUAUUCAGUGACGUAAAUAGUGUUACAAAUUGAGAACAGAAAGUGAACCGUUCAGUUUCAGUUGAUUUUGAACAUGCAUACGAUACAAUGUAAUGCAUCGCACAAUUCCAGUUGUUUCAUUACAGCACGUCCGAAAAAGAGCAAGAAGAAGCGGCGCUUAUUUAAUCCUACCCUUUUUUAUACCAUAGCAAUUUUAUCCAAUUUCCUUGUUCUUUGUAACAGAACAGAGAACAAAUAAAUUACAAAUAAUAUACCACAGUAAUCAAAUAAAUAUUUAAUACAUAAAUAAUCUUUCUCUCAAUAUAAAAAAAUUAGAAAAGGAAAAUAAAAAAGGUUCAAGAUGUUUAUCCUAAUUUUAGUUCUAUGUACUUUCUGAAUACUUGUAGUUUAAACAGUCUCUUAGACCGAAUCAUAUUGGUGCUUUGUUUGAUUUCUGUAGUUAAUCCAUUCCAUAAUUUAAAUCCACUUGGCAACACUAAAUUGGCCCCAGCGUGUAAACGUGAGUGUCAAUGUUGUCUAUCUGCGUUGGCCCUGUGAUGAGGUGGCAACUUGUCCAGGGUGCCUGUGCGUGGACUCUUUUAAAGUGGGGAGACUGGUGCACACACAGCCACCACACUGUCCUUGGCAAAGAGAAGGCCAGGGUCCAAUGGCAUGGAGACCAGGACAAUUGGGGGUCCAUCUUUGCGUCAACCUUCUUUGUGACUGUUGUGCAGCUUCUCUGAAACCAACAUAGGGUUCCAACGAAGUCCAAUGUUCACUACAGACGUCAUUCAAAUCCACUAUUCAUGGAGUUAAAGCAACUUAAACUGCAUAAAGUGAUCAACUUUAAAACAGCUCGAAUUAUGUUUAGGGCAUUCCAAAACUCUCUGCCAUCCAAUAUACUGAACCUUGUCCAGGUUAGGGAUGCUCACCAUAGUUACAGUCUAAGUAGAAAUAACAAAUUAUAUAAAACAACUUUAAAAUCAAUGUCAUUUCAGUGCGUGGAGUCAGUCUGUGGAACAACUUGGGGGACGAGUUAAAAACGGGUUCCAGCGUGAUUCAAUCCAAAACACUGUUUAAAAAAGAAGUACGAGCAGGAAAGAGAGUGAUGCCCUCAGCACAGAGCGAUGGGAGAGAGGUGUAUGGUCAGAGUGUGUUUGGGCCUCUGUGUGUGUGUCUCGUCUUGUCUCAUAGUAACAGUGGUCCUAUUGUAUUGUUAUUGUAAGGGAGUUUUUCUUGUUUUUGUUCCGUAUAGUAUUGUUGUUGUAUUAUAUUGUUUAUGUUAAAUGUGGAAUGAGUGAGAGGGGUUGGGAUAUUAUAAGCAUCUGCUUAAUCUAACCCCUUUUCAAGCCUUGCAUAAUUGUCUCCGCCAAAAUGUAAAAAAAAAAAUGUGUGUUGUUGUACUGUGCAGGUUUGAAAUAAAUACUUCAA